CUACGGGAGGCACCAGUGGGGAAUAUUGGACAAUGGGGGCAACCCUGAUCCAGCCAUGCCGCGUGAGUGAAGAAGGCCUUAGGGUUGUAAAGCUCUUUCAGAUGUGAAGAUGAUGACGGUAACAUCAGAAGAAGCCCCGGCUAACUUCGUGCCAGCAGCCGCGGUAAUACGAAGGGGGCAAGCGUUGUUCGGAAUUACUGGGCGUAAAGGGCAUGCAGGCGGUUUAGUUAGUUAGAUGUGAAAGCCCAGGGCUCAACCCUGGAACUGCAUUUAAUACUGCUAAGCUAGAGAUCAAGAGAGGAUAGCGGAAUACCCAGUGUAGAGGUGAAAUUCGUAGAUAUUGGGUGGAACACCAGAGGCGAAGGCGGCUAUCUGGCUUGAUACUGACGCUGAGAUGCGAAAGCGUGGGGAGCGAACAGGAUUAGAUACCCUUGUAGUC
rnacentral:rRNA from 1 species